rnacentral:rRNA from 1 species
CCGGGUAAGACCGGUGCCAGCCGCCGCGGUAACACCGGCGGCCCGAGUGGUAGCCGCUAUUAUUGGGUCUAAAGGGUCCGUAGCCGGUUCGAUAAGUCCUCUGGGAAAUCUGGUUGCUUAACAAUCAGACUGCCAAGGGAUACUGUCGAACUUGAGACCGGGAGAGGUAAGAGGUACUUCAGGGGUAGGAGUGAAAUCUUGUAAUCCCUGGGGGACCAUCUGUGGCGAAGGCGUCUUACCAGAACGGGUCUGACGGUGAGGGACGAAAGCUGGGGGCGCAAACCGGAUUAGAUACCCGGGUAGUCCCAGCCGUAAACGAUGCUCGCUAUGUGUCAGGUACGGUGUGACCGUAUCUAGUGCCGUAGGGAAGCCGUGAAGCGAGCCACCUGGGAAGUACGGCCGCAAGGCUGAAACUUAAAGGAAUUGGCGGGGGAGCACUACAACGGGUGGAGCCUGCGGUUUAAUUGGAUUCAACGCCGGAAAUCUUACCGGGGGAGACAGCAGCAUGAAGGUCAGGCUGAAGACCUUACCAGAUCCGCUGAGAGGAAGUGCAUGGCCGUCGUCAGUUCGUACUGUGAAGCAUCUUGUUAAGUCAGGCGACGAGCGAGACCCGUGCCCACAGUUGCCAGCAUACCCUUCGGGGUGAUGGGUACUUUGUGGGGACCGCCGCUGCUAAAGCGGAGGAAGGGGCGGGUUACGGUAGGUCAGUAUGCCCCGAAACUCCCGGGCUACACGCGGGCCACAAUGGUUGGGACAAUGGGAAUCAACACCGAAAGGUGAAGGCAAUCUCCUAAACCCAAUCGAAGUCCGGAUUGAGGGCUGCAACUCGCCCUCAUGAAGCUGGAAUCCGUAGUAAUCGCGUUUCAACACAGCGCGGUGAAUACGUCCCUGCUCCUUGCACACACCGCCCGUCAAAC